CAGCUCCUCCUCAUUUUGUUUUCCAGAAAUGACUAGGUAUCUGGCUUCAGAAAGGAACAACUGACUGCCCAGUGCUGACUCCUCACUCAGCUGCUACAGCCCUGGCCAAGAGGGGGCCUCUGGCAUCUGCCGUGUAGCCACCUCCUGUUAAGGAAAACAGAACGAAGCCUGCCUGGUCGUCAGCUCCAAAGGAGAAGGCCCAGCAAACCUGUGUUAGAAACGUGAAGCUGCAGGAUUUCUCAGGCCUGUCUGAAGAGUGGGAGUUCAUUGAAGGUUCAAAGAGAAUGGAGAAGAUGUGAAGUAAUGUGGAGAAUAAAAUUCUGAACUGACCAGAAAAACAUAUGAAGAUGACUAGGCGGCCGCUGCUCCUGUAAGUUUUUAUCUGCUGGGAUAUAAGCCUAGAGAAAGUAGACAGU
rnacentral:lncRNA from 1 species